ensembl:lncRNA
GCGGGGCGGGGCGCGGGCGGGCGGGGGCGGCCUGGCGGGCAGGCCAGCGCCGCCGGCCCGGGGGGAGCCGGCCCGGGAGCCGGAGCCCGCGGCCGCCUCGGCGAACCUGCCGGCGCGGCGCUGGGGAGGAGUCCGGGGCGGUGGCGCAGGGCACGCGCGCUCGGCGAGGGCGCCCCCUCCAGGGCCGACUGCCGCCUGCGGGACGGGGCUGAGUGCCGGCUGGCCUGGGCGCCUCCAGACCCUGAGCAGAGGACCCGCUCCCCUGUGCCUGGACUCCUGGCCCGCAGGAACUGUGAGACAAUAAACGGUGCUGUUUGCAGCUGGUACGUCUGUGGGAAUUUGCUAUGCCGCUUAGAGAACUCAUGCACCCCCAUUCCUGGCUCGUUCUGGUGGAGAAGUAGUGAUGUGCCCAAGAAGGAGGAAGCCCUUCCCCGCCCAGGGGAAACUGGUGACACCACUAAGCAUCUCAUGAUGGACUCAUUUCACUUCCCCGCGGCUGGAGGAGAGAGGCCAUGUGACCGGUUCCCAGCCCAUAAGACCUCCCUGAUGACAAGUGAGAAAUGUGCAAGGAGGCCCGCUGCCUUCCUACCUGUUUGGUCAAGCAUGUGUGAGGACGUGACACCUGGAGCUGUAGCAGCUCUCUUGGGACCAGGAGGAACUGAAGAUGAGGAUGACGACGACGGGGAGAAAGAGCCUGUGUCCUUAAUGCUGUUGUUCUUGAGCCUGCACGUGAACCCCCCUGGAGCCACCCUUUGGCUAGAUUUCCUGCCGAGGGAGAUACUAAGUGGCCUUAUCGUUUACUGCCUUCUGGAAGGAAGGUUCCGAAACUUGAACUGAAUGAAUCCUGACCGAUUUGCUAUCCACAGCCCUGGGCUGCCUCCUUUGGAGAAUCACACCCAAGGAUGUCUGUGUCCUCAUCUCCAGAACCUCUGGCUAUGUGACCUUCCAUGGCAAAGGGGACUUUGCUGAUGGGAUCAAGUUAAAGAUCCUGAGAUGGGAGAUUAUCCUGGAAUAUCUGAGUGGACCCUAGAUGUCAUCACAGGGAAGGUGGGAAGACGAGGACGCGGGUCCCCCCUGGAGCCUCUGGAAGGAGCCACCCCGCCGACCCACUUCAAACUCCGGCCUCCAGACCUGCAAGGAAACGGGUUCACGUUCUUGCAUGCUGAAGCUUGUAAUCCUUUGUUGCAGCAGCCGGAGGAUGUGAACACAGAGCCCAGGGGGUUUGGGCCUGAAUGAGCGAACGAAUGAGUGAGUGAAUGUGGUAGGUACGACAGAACCCCGUGAACCGUCCAGUCGUGGGCGCAAGGGGUUCCAUCUCCACAGCCCUGUCUCGGCCGUCGAGUCACCAUGUGAUGUCGGAUGUCACCUGCCUUCUCUGGGCCUCAGUUUCCCUCCUGUGGUCAAGGAACAGGACUCAGUGGUCUUCCUGGAUGUGUGUCUCCCGCAGGCUGGCAGGUGCCAACGGGAGAGGACAGCCAGGCUGGGCCUGCAGCCUCUGACCCGUGGGGACCUGAGACACAUGGCUGGGCCUCUCCGGAUCACAGGAUCGCACCCGAAGGAGAGCUGGGGUUCUGUGUGUCGGUGUCCGGAAGGAUUGCAUGCUUGCCUGGCAGCGCUGGGGAAGGGAGGAGGCCUUGCAGGAUGGCUGACGGCAGGUUUUUCUUUCUAUGUCUCUGUAUUGUUUAACUUGUUCUGAGAGCUUGAGUUACUUGGGCAGAUAAAAAAUUCUAAUAAAAGAGAACUCAGAGCUCACCGUUGCCGGCACUGAGCAAGCUCCUGGUGAGUCACCGUUGACAUUGUCGUCAUGGCCACUGUUAUCUUGUAUCCCACCUGAUUGAGUCCACUUUUGAAGUGCCAUCAGGCCAGUCCCCAGCCCCUGCUUGGACACCCCGGGCAAGGGGGAGCUCACUGCUUGUCGAGCAGCCCACUUCACCUGGGAUAGCUCUGAUCAUCUCCGACAUUGAGCACGCAGUCUGGUGCCCCUCUGGGCUGGGUUGUGUGGCAGCAGUGGGCACACAGAAUCAGCCUCACGCCUUCCGAGAGAGAAGUGCACAGCCACAAGAGGGGCCCGAGCUGGCUGGGGCCAUCAGGGGCUUCCUGGAGAGGGGGCUUCUGCGCCUGGCCUUGAUGGUGGGGGAGAGACUUCCUCUGCCAGCAAGUUGCUUCUGAGCCGCUUCCCCCACGGCCCCUUGCACUGCCCCUGCCCCCCUCAGCCAAAUGCUCCCAGCCCCCGAGCUGUGACCCUGGAGUUGGCACAUUGCCUGUCUGGGCCGGCCUGCGUCCUCGGGCCCAGACCCCCGUCCAGGCUCCUUCCCCUGCAGACCUCCAGGGCGUUGUUAGGAUGCACAGCAGAUCUUGAGAGGCUCCCGUUUUAUUUCACCCUCUCGGGUCCCCUGAGGGUUGGGUGCUCUUUGCAUCCCCACUUUGCAGAGAGAUGAGAGAACGGAGGCUUCAGGGGGGCAGACGUGGCUGCCCAGGGCCCCAGGGAGCGUCUGGCGGGUUAGGACUCAGGCUCAGGCCCCUGCCCAUCCAGCCUCACUGCCCACAGUGGACGCCUCGUGGCGACCACCCACUCCAACGGAGACCACCCGGGGAAGCCCUGGCUCACUGCUGGGGGCUUCUCUCCCCAAAGUGGUCUCCCCAGGGACCCCCAGAUCACCACUGCUGUCCCACUGCUGGGGCUGCUGUCUCCCCUGUAGCCUGCUUGGGUGGGGCCCCCUGGCACUAAGCAGCCCUUGGUCCCAGUGCCCAGCGUGGGGAGCGAGCGCGUGGAGCUGCCUUCCAGAAGCCCUGCACGAGGAGGGCGCUUUGUUCCUGCUGUACCUGAAGAGAGUUGAGGCCCAGUGCGUGCUGAAGCCCGACUUCUCCCCAAGCCACCUUCGCUCUGCUCUGCCCUGUUGCCUCUCGCUGAGCACUGGGUGCAGGCAGGGCUCGGCCCUGACUGUAGACAGAGGCUGGGGAGCCGGGGUCACUGCCAGCUCUGGGCACGAGGGGAAAGCACAGGUGAGGUGUGCCGCAGCCCUGUGUGUGGUAGGGGCCACCCUCAUCCCCAGGCCGGACACCUCGGGUGGUGUGGCCCCACCUGGGGUCCCAGGACCGUGCCUGGGGGGAGCGGCGAGUCAAAGUAAGGCAAUUUCAUACCUUCAAUUCAUGGAUCUGACUGUAGCGGACACGAGCUUCAGAUCUAGGGGCCUCGGAGCCCUCCCGUUUUGUUUGGCUUGGGCUUUUUAGAGAGGAAAAUGCACAAGAGCCCUUGAGGUGUUUGGAGAAACAAGCUGAGGAUGCUCACCUUCAGCCUCACACUGUGAGGCUUCUCCAGCUUCCUGUGCUGAUCCUGGCUCCCAAGCUCUUCUGGAAGUCAAGGAGGCGGGUCCGCGACCCCCGCCAUGGCCCGGAGCCCCAGGAUGUGUGUGUUGGAGCCUGGAGUCUGAGGGCUCCAGCGCAGCCAGACCUGUGAUAUUUUCUUCUCCAGUCUUCCGUUCCCAGGAAGGCCCUGAUUUACAUCAGAAACUCAUCACACAGGAGGGAGCAGGGCUGGCCUGAGGUAGGAUUGUAAGUCAGGGUACAGGCGGUGCUGCUGUAACCAGGCGACCCCAAAACGCAGUGGCUUGGACAGAGUGUUGAUUUCUCUCCCACACCGAAGUCCAGACAGGGCGGGCAUGGCGCCCUCACUGGGUCGAGGAUCCUGGCAUCUUUGACCUUUCCUUGGCCGUGCCCAGCAGGCAGCUCCCACCUGGAGGUCUCAGUUGGCUGGUCCAUCGCUGGCCAUUGCCAUCACACCAUGGUCCACAGAGUGGGGUGGGAGGGCGUGGUCCUCCAGUCACAGGGCAUCUUCACACAGCCUUUGUGCUGACGUCCUGUUGGUCAGAACGUGGUCACAUGGCCACGCCCACUGCAAGGGAUACUGGGAAAUGUCGUCUAUAACAGAGUGGCCACAUGCCUCAUGUAUGGAGGGUCUGCAGACCUGGGAACUACUGACAUUUAGGGCUGGGCACCUCUUUGUCGUGGGUGCCAUCUGGGAAUUGCAGGAUGUUAGCAGCAUGCCUGGCCUCUUCCCACUGAUGUCGGGAGCACCCCCCAGUUGUGACCACCAAAAAUGUCCUCAGAUGUUGCCAGAUGUCCCUUGGGGGCAUAAUCAGUCCUAGUUGAGACCCACUGGGCCAUAACAAGGUUCCCAAACCCCAGUGUCCAGGGCCCCGGGCUGGGCUGGGCUGAGCCCAUGGAGCAGGCCCCCUCCAGAGGGGCAGUGUUCUCUGGGCUCCACCCUGCCAACGAUCAUGCCGGAAGAGGACAGAGGUCUGGAGUUUCUUGUGAAAUAUCCUAAUUGCUCACUGAUAGGCCUCAUUAAAAAAGGACGAAAGCUGUGUGGUUGUUAUGGGUUGAAUUGUGUCCCCCAAAAAAGAUAUGUCCAUGUCCUAAGCCCCAGUGCCGGUGAGGGUGGCCUUACUUGGAAAUAGAGUGUCGGCAGAUGUGCUCAAGUUCAGUGAGGUCGUCCUGGAGCGGAUGGCAUCCUUACAGGAAGAGGAACGUGGAGAAGAGGCAGAAGGCACAUGAAGAUGGGUGGAGGCAGGAGACGUGAGCACAGCCCAGGGACACUGGGGCCACCAGAAGCUGGAAGAGGCAGGAAGGACCCCCCAGAGCAUCGGAGGGCGCAGGUGGGCCGACCGCUUGACUUCAGACUCAGCCUGCAGACCUGGGAGGGAACGGGUUCCUGUUACUCUCGGCUACCCAGGCUGGGAGGCUAACCCUGCGUCCAGCACCUGUCUGCGGCCCUGCGGGGGAGGCUCCCCGCAGUGCCCCGCUGCCCGCUCCAGCUCCACAGGACGGUCUGUGGGUCGGAUUCCGCGUGCCCUGGGCCCAGAGCACAAACAGGAGGGCGAUGCUGCAGACUGCACGUCUGGGGGUUGCUGGGACAGUGAGGCGGGCCAGAUGGACAAGUCCAGCGCAGACCACCACAGCCUGAGCCAGCAGCCCCCGCUGAGCCUGGCCGGAGCAGGGCUGGUGUGGGGCAGCCUGCAGGAAAGGGUCUCUCCCGCCUGCCCCAGCCUAGCCUCGGUGCAGCCGGGUACCCCCAGACCUGCCGUUUCCUCGUCUAGCAAAUGGGGAGAAUCCAAUUUGCUGGGACCAGACAAGGACUUGAGCCCGGCCGGCUGCUGCCUGCAGCCCCAGUGUCUCUCCACAGCUCCCUUCGUGGGGCCCUGAACUCCCAGGUCCCACCUUAAUCGAUGCUCUGUAACUUUGGCGCCCUGCCCCGUCCCGGCCUCAGUUUACCCCUGAGACUGAGCGGCUCGGCUCUGAGUUUCUCAGGGCCUUCCCGGCUCUAUCAGUGCUGACUGGGCAGGUGGCGUUGUCGGCUGUUGCUCUGUGGGCGCAGGGGCCCGAGGGGAAAGGAUGAGAGAGGAAGCUGAUGGCGUCGGCUCUGGGAUUCUGCAGGAGGCAACGUGUCAGAGCCGCAGGCUCCUCCCAGCAGUGCCCGCGGAGCCGCCUGGAACCCGCGUGGGACGCGGCAAAGCUCUGUCCGCCAGGACGCAUCCCGUUCCUUUUCUAGGAAGCAGGAGUCGUCAGCCACCUCGCUCCAGAGACUGUUCCAACUGCAGCAGGAGGACGCCUGACCCCGCGAGGAAGGGAACACCUCCUGCAGGGCCGAGGAGCAGCCCUCAGGGCAGGAAGCCCCCUGUGCCUGCCCUUUCCUCUGUGGAGGUGACGCCUGGUGCCCUCAGGGUGGAGUCAGGGUGUCUGGACACUGACGGCUUCCCACCGUGGGUGCAGGGCGAGCGGGCGUCCAGAGGGGCGACAGUCCAGGGGCCCCGCAGCCAGACUACCCAGAGCUUGAAGCUGAGCGAGGACAGAGAAUUACUGGAUCCCAGGCCUUAGACUUGGGCGUUAUCCUCGUCCCCGGGGCGGCCUGGCUCCUGCCUCUACCCCGGCCUGGCCUCCAGUCUCCCCAUGGCCCCAGGAGGAUCUUUCCAGGUGGAGCUCUGAGCCCGCCAGCAGGAGGAGGUCCAAGCUGGUCCCCAGAACUCACCUGGCAGGGGGGGUUGGCCCUGGCGCCUCUCCCACCCGGCCGGGCCUUGCCUGCUCCAUUCUGAGAAUGCCGACCGCUCUGCCCCUCCCUGAUGCCCCUGUGCCUCCCCACUGCCACACCUUCGUGUGGGGGGCCCUCUGCACAGAGCACCUUCCCGCCAUGGCCUGCACAGCUCACUCUUCCUCGUCCAUCAGGAUCAGCUCAGCCACCUCCCCCAGGAGGCCCACCUGGGGCUCCUCACGCGCCUGGUGGCUGCCAGGCCCCGUCCUGGGGGGCUCCAUGUGUCUUAGGGCUCCUCAGGACAGAGACCCAGGUGUUCUACCUACAACAUCGCACCCUGGUACAGAUUGGGAUCCUUCAGCGUGGGUGGUGGCUGGAGACGUGAGUGACUGAGCAAGUGAGGAACAGAACAAAGCCUACCCCACACACAUGUGUGUCUCCAGCCCAGGCCUGGUGCUGGCUCCUGCCAUCGCUGACCCUCCCUGUGGGUCCCUUCUCCCUCCCUCUGCACAGUCUCCCGCUCCCCCAUGGCCCCUCCAAUGCACUGUGUGCCUCCUGACCCCACAGCAAGGCCGAGAAAGCCCGUUUAGCUAAAUCCACCGCAGACAGGGAAGAGGGCCCUUCCCGGCCUCGUGGCUCUCAGUCCACACGGCCACCUGGACUGUGUGCUGGAGCCUCGGGUGCCCGCCUCGCGGGGCUCCUGUGAGCUGCACGGGUGGAGGAGGCAGCCCACCUCCUGAGCCCCCAGCAACUCCUGGGGCGGCUCCAGCACCCUCCAAGCUGCUUUCAUCUGAUUGUGAGUUCUGCCCAACAGUCUCCAGUGGAGGACCCUUCCCCAACGGCGAGCCUGCUCCCGGCUCCUACUCCAUCCCCACACUGUUUAAGCCGACACAGUAAAUGCACUUGAGUCCCUGGGAGGAAGGCCACACUCCCAGGGGCCCACCCGUCAGCAGAGAUCGAGGAUGGGGUGCUGUGCCCACGUCUGUGCUCAACUCGGUGGAGCGUUUCGGUUUACAGCCCAGCCUUCCGUGCCUGCAGAAAGCCUCGCCUGCAGCCAUGCCGAGCCCCCAGGCCAGGGAAGCCCGUCUGCCCAGUGGUUCCCGAGGGAGCCAGAGAGCUGGCACAGGACCAGGGGCCGCCACGCCGGCGGGAGCCUCGUGCUGCCCUCUCUCAUUUUCCCAGGGCCAAACCGGGGCCAUGCAUCUCUAGGCCCAGUGCAGACUCGGGCCAAGGGCCGGAAGGUCUGUGGGCACCUCAGCACGGUUCCCUCCGCUCUCCCCUCGUAUCGUGCCCAGGCCUCUGGAUGCACCCUGCCGAGGGCAUCUCCUCGGCGAGGUUCGGAGAGCAGAGGGGCCGGCUCCUUGGGCAGAGGUGGGCAGACUUAUAAGCUGGUUUGGCCUGGACGUCUCCCCAGACCUGCCUUCCUGGUGAUGCCACAGCUCCAGCCCUUUGCCUGCCUGCAGCCCCCAGACCCUGAC